rnacentral:rRNA from 1 species
GACGAACGCUGGCGGCGUGCCUAAUACAUGCAAGUCGAGCGGAAUGAAGAAGAAGCUUGCUUCUUCUGAUUUUAGCGGCGGACGGGUGAGUAACACGUGGGCAACCUACCUUGUAGAUUGGGAUAACUCCGGGAAACCGGGGCUAAUACCGAAUAAUCCAUUUUGCUUCAUGGCGAGAUGUUGAAAGACGGUUUCGGCUGUCACUACAAGAUGGGCCCGCGGCGCAUUAGCUAGUUGGUAGGGUAAUGGCCUACCAAGGCGACGAUGCGUAGCCGACCUGAGAGGGUGAUCGGCCACACUGGGACUGAGACACGGCCCAGACUCCUACGGGAGGCAGCAGUAGGGAAUCUUCCACAAUGGACGAAGGUCUGAUGGAGCAACGCCGCGUGAGUGAAGAAGGUUUUCGGAUCGUAAAACUCUGUUGUAAGGGAAGAACACGUACGAGAGUAACUGCUCGUACCUUGACGGUACCUUAUUAGAAAGCCACGGCUAACUACGUG